GUAGGUGGCAAGCGUUGUCCGGAAUUAUUGGGCGUAAAGCGCGCGCAGGCGGUUCGUUUAAGUCUGAUGUGAAAGCCCACGGGCUCAACCGUGGAGGGUCAUCGGAAACUGGAGAACUUGAGUACAGAAGAGGAAAGCGGAAUUCCACGUGUAGCGGUGAAAUGCGUAGAGAUGUGGAGGAACACCAGUGGCGAAGGCGGCUUUCUGGUCUGUAACUGACGCUGAGGCGCGAAAGCGUGGGGAGCAAACAGGAUUAGAUACCCUGGUAGUCCACGCCGUAAACGAUGAGUGCUAAGUGUUAGGGGGUUUCCGCCCCUUAGUGCUGCAGCUAACGCAUUAAGCACUCCGCCUGGGGAGUACGGCCGCAAGGCUG
rnacentral:rRNA from 1 species